CGGGUGAUGUGUUUAGAAGAUCUGCAGCUGCAAAAGUUAGACAGCCUGGUUGUCAGCGAGGGGCAGGGACUUGAUUUAAAACUUGCAGAAUUCAGCCUGCAAGACUUUGGGAGCCAGCCAGGGAGACACUAUACAAAGCAUCACCUACACAAUACUCGGAAUGACCACCAGAACGAUAAGUAAACGAAUACAGAAGCAUUGUCGUAAUAUAUACGAAAUGUUCCUAAAGACAUUAAAGAUGGCAGAACAAUCACAAGUGUUGCCAAACAUUAUCACAUACAUCACAAUCAUGAUGAUAAUCUUCUUAAAUAUGCUGUCAUUCAAGAGGCAAGUUUAGGGAUUAGAGGAGGCAACUUGGAAAAGACAUUGCUACAGAUGGAAUGUAAAUGGAUUAAUCUUCUUAAUUCAGUCAAACCUUAUGGUUUAAAUGGCUUCAAUAACUGCAAUGUAUUUCUUUAAAUAAAGAUAUCUGCUCUGCGUUAA